UGGAUGUCAAAAUUGGAUGGAGGCACUAUAAUUAUUUUUGCUAUUUAAUUUUAAAGCAUUUUUGUUAGGUGCACCUUAAGUUUCUUAAAUACUUGGAAGUUGUUUUAAAUGACUGUUGUAUUAUGAUAGUUGAUGUGAUUCUAAAUGAGUUUUUUUUUUUCGCCGGUAAAAAUAUACAAGCAAACGAACUUAUAAAAAGAUGAAAUGAAAUCAGAGUUAUAAUUGAUGGA
rnacentral:lncRNA from 1 species